CAGAACUACGCACAUACAUUUAUAUAUAAAUGCUAUACUUGACAUAAUCUCUCCAUUGACUUGGACCAAUAAGCCACCACGUUGCUUACCAACACCCUAGAAACCACCCAGAGCAUCCUAGCAACUGCAUAACAACACCUUAGCAACCAGCCACACCCACAGCUCUAAUAACUCAUCAGAUUUCCCCAUUCUGAUUUUCACCUGCUUCGGAUGGGGUUUCCAUGGCAACAAGCAUGUAGCAGGAACUGAUGGCAUUGUUGGAAGAUGUCUCUCAUGGAGCGCUGAGGACUUCCUCCCUCUCUCUCUCUCUCUCUCUCUCUCUCUCUCUCUCGGCACAGUAUCAGAAGAAUCCUAAACGGUUUGCUGAGGGUAUCGACGGCUUCCCUACAUGCGUGCUGUCAGCUCUCAGACGCUCACACGCAGCUCUGAUAUCUACAACAGAUGUUUGCUGCUACUACACAUAAUGUGUUUGUUAUAUCACAUACUGAAAUAAAUCAUGUAAAUAGUCUUGAAUACAUAGAUCUUUAGUCGCUCAUCUGCAGCAUAAUGCAGUACAGAAGAAGUGACAUGAAGUUCAGCCUAUUAGCAGUGAAACCAGUAAUGCUUGCUUUUUCUAGCAUUUUAGUAUUAUUUAUUUCUUUUUUAUUGAUUAUUAUCAUUAAUAACUUCUGCAUCUUGAAGGAGGCAUUUGUUAAGAAGAUGGAUGAAACGUCUUUAGUUUUUGCAGGUGGCUCGUUCGUGAUGGUUGUGGGGUUUGAUGGGAGAUUGAAGAAGCACUAAACUUUCUUUGGGAAAGUUUGAAGUCUGAAGUGCUUUCAGGACGUCCGAAGUGGACGACAGCAGCGAGAGCGUCUGAAGGCACGGUGACAGAUGGAGAAACAUCAGGCGUUUGUGUUCAUCCAGCACAGCCGUGCGUGUCCCCCGACACAACAUACUCUCAGCUGUGGGCUCUUCCAGAACCUGCUCUCAGAGGAAGAGGAUUUAAAGGGCAACCGGGAAGGAAUCUGACUCCUUAUAAUAUGGGCUCAGCAAGACCUCUGAUCACUAAAUGCCAAGCCGGCUCCUGUCACUGUGCUGUAUGACAGCUUAAUAAUGGCUUUCCCAGCUGCUGUUUCACUGACGGAGGUGAAUUCAGUUCAGUGUGCUUACAGGAGUUUGAAGAUGAUGCACUUUUUCUGGAAACUCAUCUAGUGAACGAGUGAACAUGUGGGCCAGACUGACAGGACACCCUGAAGAGAGAGACACAUCAGUUCAGAGUCAUGCUGUCAAUCCAGCACCAACCUGGUGCUCCAGCAUCCGCUGACCUUCGUUCAUCUCCAAGGAUGUGAGAGCUAAGGGAGCAGUUCUCCUCUCCACCUUUGCUCACAGGCGAGUUUUCUUUCUGUUUGAGUCUGUUCAUUAAGCUCUACAGAAACGGCAGGAUAUCGAGUGUCCUGGUGCGUCUUCUGAAAGAUUCCCCAGGGCAACACACCAUCAGAGAUCCCAUUAAUGGAUUUACACUUCAUUAAGCGUUUGACCAAAAUCCAUUUUUAAAAAGAGGCCAUUAUUUAAAAUCAUUUUGGUGUAUUUAAUCUCAAUCUUUGGUGGUGAACACUGAGUAAAAUAAAAUAAAAUAAAAUAAAAUAAA